rnacentral:rRNA from 1 species
UAAGCAUAUCAAUAAGCGGAGGAAAAGAAACUAACAAGGAUUCCCCUAGUAACUGCGAGUGAAGCGGGAAAAGCUCAAAUUUAAAAUCUGGCAGUCCUUUGCGGCUGUCCGAGUUGUAAUCUAGAGAAGCGUUAUCCGCGUUGGACCGUGUACAAGUCUCUUGGAAAAGAGCAUCAUAGAGGGUGAGAAUCCCGUCUUUGACACGGACUGCCAAGGCAUUUGUGAUGCGCUCUCGAUGAGUCGAGUUGUUUGGGAAUGCAGCUCAAAAUGGGUGGUAAAUUCCAUCUAAAGCUAAAUAUUGGGGAGAGACCGAUAGCGAACAAGUACCGUGAGGGAAAGAUGAAAAGAACUUUGGAAAGAGAGUUAAACAGUACGUGAAAUUGUUGAAAGGGAAACGCUUCAAGUCAGUCGCGUUUGUUGGGGAUCAACCUGCUCGCAAGGGUGGGAGCAUUUCCUGGCAGACGGGUCAGCAUCAGUUUUGAUCGUUGGACAAAGGUCAGAGGAAUGUGACAUCUUUUUGGAUGUGUUAUAGCCUCGGGUCGCAUGCAACGGUUGGGAUUGAGGAACUCAGCACGCCUUCAUUGGCCGAGGCAAUUCAUUGUCUACGUUUACGUGCUUAGGAUGCUGGCA